UCUGGUGAAUAUACCGUCAGGUGGAUGGCUCGGCUCAAGCGCUGAUGAGGGACGUGCCAAGCUGCGAUAAGCCUCGGGUAGGAGCAUGGAUCCAAUGAACCGAGGAUUUCCUAAUGAGGCCUCUUAAUGCGUUUUACGCAUUGAUCAGUAAUGAUCGGGAACGCUCCGAAUUGAAGCAUCUUAGUAGGAGCAGGAAAAGAAAUCGAAGAGAUGCCGCUAGUAACGGCGAGUGAACACGGCAAAGUUCAAACUGAAUCCCACCAGAAAUGAGUGGGAGAUGUGGUGUUAUAGGCUUUUCCUAAAGGUCCUAGUUAACUGAAAUCGAACUUCUCUGGAACGUGAGACCAUAGAGUGUGAUAGUCACGUAGGUAAAGGUUAACGGAUCUGGGUUAAGUCCUGAGUAGCGUGGGUCGGAAUUCUCGCGCGAAUUUGGGAGGCACCAACUUCCAAAACUAAAUACGACUUGAGACCGAUAGCGAAGUAGUAGGGUGACCGAAAGCUGAAAAGUACCCCAAGAAGGGAGGUAAAAAGCGCCUGAAAUCUGAUGGUGAUAGAGCGUUAUGGCGUGAAAGGAUCUUUGAUACGAAGGAAGCAGUCGCGAGGCUGUUGUACGAGUAUCAUUGCCGACGUCGUAACUUACGUUUUGAAGAACGGGCCAGGGAGUAUAUCCAAGUGGCGAUGGCUAACCUUUUACGUGGGAAGCCGGAGCGAAAGCAACAUGCGCGCAACCUUCGGGCCAGGCGCGGCGUAUACAAGUGCGUGGAGUCACUGGGGUAUGACCCGAAGCCGGGUGAUCUAGGCGUGGGCAGGUUGAAGCGUGGCGAAAGCUACGUGGAGGACCGCAAGCGGUAUUGAUCUGCAAAUCAUUCGCGUGACCUGCGUCUCGGAGUGAAAGGCUAAUCUAACCCGGCAACAGCUGGUUCCUUCCUAAACAUGUCGCAGCAUGACCUGACCGGAGAUAGUCGGUGGAGUAGAGCACUGAUUGGCGAUCCCGGGGGAGAAAUCCUUCGCUCACCUGUCAAACUCCAAACCCACCGUCGUCGUAGAAGGUCGGAGUCCGGGCUACUGGGGUAAGCUUGUAGUCCGUAAGGGAGACAACCCAGCCCGUGGUUAAGGUCCCCAAGUGUCGACUAAGUGUUAACACUAAAGGGCGUCCCAAGCCCAAGACAGCUGGAAGGUUAGCUUAGAAGCAGCUAUCCUUUAAAGAGUGCGUAACAGCUCACCAGUCGAGGUUUGGGGCCCCGAAAAUGGACGGGGCUCAAGUCGACUACCGAUACCACGGAGCACCGCAAGGUGAUCUAGUAGGAAGGCGUUGCGCUCGGGUAGAAGCAGGGCUGUAAAGUCCUGUGGACCGUGCGGAAACGAAAAUCCUGGCAAUAGUAACAGCAAAGUCAGGUGAGAAUCCUGACCACCGAAGGGGCCAGGUUUCCUCGGCAAUGUUCGUCAGCCGAGGGUUAGUCGGUCCUAAGACGUACCGUAAUUCGAGUACGCCGAAAGGGAAACAGGUUAAUAUUCCUGUACCAUUUAGCACUGAGUCUGACGUCUCAGGGCAGGCCGAGCGGCGUCGUCGCGCCGUCUAAGCAGCGAAUCCUGUGGAGAGCCGUAAUGGCGAGAAGCGGGCGAAUCUGUUAUGGCGAUAGUCGGCUGCACCCAGGGACCCGUGAAAAGGCAGCUAAAUGUCCGUACCGAGAACUGACACAGGUGCCCCUAGCUGAAAAGGCUAAGGUGUGUCGGAGUAAACUGGCUAAGGGAAUUCGGCAAAUUGGCUCCGUAACUUCGGGAUAAGGAGUGCCUGCUGUGUAGACAGCAGGUCGCAGUGACCAGAGAGCUCUAACUGUCUAAUAUCAACAUAGGAAAUCGCAAACCUGUAAAGGCUAGUACGAUUUCUGAAUCCUGCCCAGUGCAGGUACCUGAAACCCCGGUUCAACGGGAAGAAGGGCCUGUAAACGGCGGGGGUAACUAUGACCCUCUUAAGGUAGCGUAGUACCUUGUCGCUUAAUUGGCGACUUGCAUGAAUGGAUCAAUGAGAGUUCUACUGUCCCUAGCCAGAGUCCGGUGAACUUUACAUUCUAGUGCACAGUCUAGAGACCUCUAGGGGGAAGUGAAGACCCCGUAGAGCUUUACUGCAGCCUGUCGUUGGGUUGUGGUUUUGGAUGUACAGUGUAGGUAGGAGACGUCGAAGCCGGUGCGCCAGCAUCGGUGGAGUCGCCAUUGGGACACUACCCUUCUGAAAUUACGAUCCUAACUCCAACGGAGGACAUCGAUAGGUGGGCAGUUUGCCUGGGGCGGGACGCCCUUGAAAAGAUAUCAAGGGCGC
rnacentral:rRNA from 1 species